rnacentral:rRNA from 1 species
UACAGAGGGUGCAAGCGUUAAUCGGAAUUACUGGGCGUAAAGCGAGCGUAGGUGGCUUGAUAAGUCAGAUGUGAAAUCCCCGGGCUUAACCUGGGAACUGCAUCUGAUACUGUUAGGCCAGAGUAGGUGAGAGGAAGGUAGAAUUCCAGGUGUAGCGGUGAAAUGCGUAGAGAUCUGGAGGAAUACCGAUGGCGAAGGCAGCCUUCUGGCAUCAUACUGACACUGAGGUUCGAAAGCGUGGGUAGCAAACAGGA